rnacentral:rRNA from 1 species
GACGAACGCUGGCGGCGUGCCUAAUACAUGCAAGUAGAACGCUGAAGGAGGAGCUUGCUUCUCUGGAUGAGUUGCGAACGGGUGAGUAACGCGUAGGUAACCUGCCUGGUAGCGGGGGAUAACUAUUGGAAACGAUAGCUAAUACCGCAUAAGAGUAGAUGUUGCAUGACAUUUGCUUAAAAGGUGCAAUUGCAUCACUACCAGAUGGACCUGCGCUGUAUUAGCUAGUUGGUGGGGUAACGGCUUACCAAGGCGACGAUACAUAGCCGACCUGAGAGGGUGAUCGGCCACACUGGGACUGAGACACGGCCCAGACUCCUACGGGAGGCAGCAGUAGGGAAUCUUCGGCAAUGGACGGAAGUCUGACCGAGCAACGCCGCGUGAGUGAAGAAGGUUUUCGGAUCGUAAAGCUCUGUUGUAAGAGAAGAACGAGUGUGAGAGUGGAAAGUUCACACUGUGACGGUAUCUUACCAGAAAGGGACGGCUAACUACGUG